rnacentral:rRNA from 1 species
UACAGAGGUCCCAAGCGUUGUUCGGAUUCAUUGGGCGUAAAGGGUGCGUAGGUGGCGCCGUAAGUCAGGUGUGAAAUCUCGGGGCUUAACUCCGAAACUGCAUUUGAUACUGCGGUGCUUGAGGACUGGAGAGGAGACUGGAAUUUACGGUGUAGCAGUGAAAUGCGUAGAGAUCGUAAGGGAGACCAGUGGCGAAGGCGGGUCCCUGGACAGUUCCUGACGCUGAGGCACGAAGGUCAGGGGAGCAAACGGG